GACGUAGGGUGCAAGCGUUGUCCGGAAUUAUUGGGCGUAAAGAGCUCGUAGGCGGUUUGUCGCGUCUGCUGUGAAAACUCGGGGCUUAACUCCGGGCCUGCAGUGGGUACGGGCAGACUAGAGUGCGGUAGGGGAGACUGGAAUUCCUGGUGUAGCGGUGAAAUGCGCAGAUAUCAGGAGGAACACCGGUGGCGAAGGCGGGUCUCUGGGCCGAUACUGACGCUGAGGAGCGAAAGCGUGGGGAGCGAACAGG
rnacentral:rRNA from 1 species